GUAUAUUAAAGUUGUUGCAGUUAAAAAGCUCGUAGUUGGAUUUGUGGCUUACGGCGGGUUCCGGGCACUUGUGUCUGAGUGACUUGCCGUUGCCAUCCUUGGGUGGAACCUGUGUGGCAUUAGGUUGUCGUGCAGGGGAUGCCCAUCGUUUACUGUGAAAAAAUUAGAGUGUUCAAAGCAGGCUUAUGCCGUUGAAUAUAUUAGCAUGGAAUAAUGAGAUAGGACUUUUUCGCUAUUUUGUUGGUUUGCGCGAGAAGGUAAUGAUUAAUAGGGACAGUUGGGGGUAUUCGUAUUCCAUUGUCAGAGGUGAAAUUCUUGGAUUUCUGGAAGACGAACUACUGCGAAAGCAUUUACCAAGGAUGUUUUCAUUAAUCAAGAACGAAAGUUAGGGGAUCGA
rnacentral:rRNA from 1 species